CCUUAAGUACAUGACAAGUACUCUCAUUUUCAUAUAAUACUUCAAUAAUUCCAUUCCGAAGCGUAAAGAAGACGAAUUAAGAAAUAAACUAGCUGUUUCUUUAGUGGCUGUGCACGUUUGAACUUUAAUAUGGCACAGCUUGAUUUCGCCGAAAAGCGUCGAAGAAUACUUACAAUUAUGAUGAAGAUCGUAUGAAAAAAAUUUGGAGUUUCUUCAUGGUGCAUCACUCCAUAUACACUGUAGAUUGGUACAACUCAGUUUCCCGGGAAGAAUCGACGCUUAAAUCUUGCCAUAAUAUCGGAAAAACAAAAAAACUGAAAUAAUUACGCUAUAUCCUUCUAUAAUGUCAACCCGCGGAGGACGAUUGGCAGUAUCAUUAAGAAGCUCAUCUGAAUAACAAAAAUAAUAGUGUCGCAAGGCUGUGUUUGUUUAUUAAUAUAAUUUUUUGAACAGUAGUACAGUAUAUUAUGAAUAUUUAC